ACGAACGCUGGCGGCGUGCUUAACACAUGCAAGUCGAACGAGGUCCAACCAGUGGCAACACUGGAGACGACCUAGUGGCGAACGGGUGAGUAACACGUGAGGAACCUGCCCCGAAGUCCGGGAUAACCCCCCGAAAGGGGAGCUAAUACCGGAUGCCCCCACCAGAACGCAUGUUCAGGUGAGGAAAGGAUUCUGCUUCGGGAGGGCCUCGCGGCCUAUCAGCUUGUUGGUGAGGUAACGGCUCACCAAGGCGACGACGGGUAGCUGGUCUGAGAGGACGAUCAGCCAC
rnacentral:rRNA from 1 species